UAAAAAUAUCGUAUGUUCAUUUGUGGUGGCCCAGCCCUGCCCAGCCAGGGAGCCAUGCCGCGGCUGCAAUCACACUCUACUGGUUGUCUGCAGUUCUGCAGCUAAGUGACCUUGAAGAACUUGCAAUGGAGCUGCAUAAAUAAGGAGCCAUCAUGACUUCCCAGUUAGAGGAAGACAAUGUGACGAUAAUGUUCUUAACCCCUGAUGAGGCCAUGAACCACUACCAUCACGGACUGCUUGCUAUAAAGGAGGGGAAAACCACAAAGACUGCUGCCUACCAAAAUGUUGGCGUUGAUUAUAAAACGACUGUUGACACAGCAGCAAUUACAAAAUUGCAUGCCAUCAACAAAGACAAGGAUGAUGAGCCUCAGACCACAGUGGGGAAAAGGGAGACUUUGCACCCAAUGUAAAGAUCGCAUUAAAGAAGAUGGCCUAGAAGAGAAAGUGGAAGAGCUGAAGAAGGCGAGGGAACUUCUUGAAAUUUACAAAAGAGCUAAGUUAGGUUAGGUUUCAGUUAAGAGCAAGCUCUCGUUUUUCCCUGGCAUUAGAUUAAGCCUUGAGUCACUGUUUUUUGAAGUUGCCUUUAAGUAGGCUAUGUUUUUUCCAUUUAUAAUAAAUGUUUUUUUUUAACAUUUCA